rnacentral:rRNA from 1 species
AUAAACGCUGGCGGCGUGCUUAACACAUGCAAGUCGAACGAAGUUUUUCUUUCGGGAGGAACUUAGUGGCGGACGGGUGAGUAACGCGUGGGUAACCUGCCCUGUACAGGGGGACAACAGCUGGAAACGGCUGCUAAUACCGCAUAAGCCCUUAGCACUGCAUGGUGCAUAGGGAAAAGGAGCAAUCCGGUACAGGAUGGACCCGCGUCUGAUUAGCCAGUUGGCAGGGUAACGGCCUACCAAAGCGACGAUCAGUAGCCGUUCUGAGAGGAUGUACGGCCACAUUGGGACUGAGACACGGCCCAGACUCCUACGGGAGGCAGCAGUGGGGAAUAUUGCACAAUGGAGGAAACUCUGAUGCAGCGACGCCGCGUGAGUGAAGAAGUAUUUCGGUAUGUAAAGCUCUAUCAGCAGGAAAGAAAAUGACGGUACCUGACUAAGAAGCACCGGCUAAAUACGUG